rnacentral:rRNA from 1 species
CCCUUAGAUGUUCUGGGCUGCACGCGCGCUACACUGAUGCGUUCAACGAGUUUUCAUCCUUGCCCGGUAGGGUUGGGUAAUCUUCUGAAAACGCAUCGUGAUGGGGAUAGAUUAUUGUAAUUAUUAAUCUUCAACGAGGAAUUCCUAGUAAGCGCGAAUCAUCAGUUCGUGCUGAUUACGUCCCUGCCCUUUGUACACACCGCCCGUCGCUCCUACCGAUUGAAUGCUCAGGUGAGCCAUUCGGACUUUCAUCAUGCUGGUUUCCAGUUUUGAUGAAGGAAAGUCUUGCGAACCUUAUCAUUUAGAGGAAGGAGAAGUCGUAACA